rnacentral:sRNA from 1 species
AUGAAGUGAAAGAAGAAGAUGAGACUUUUAUUGAGGAGCUGAUCAAUAACUAUGAUGGGAAAGUCCAUGGUGAAGAAGAGAUGAUCCCUGGAUCCGUCCUGAUUAGUGAUGCUGUUUUUCUGGAGUUGGUCGAUGCCCUGAAUCAGUACUCAGAUGAGGAGGAGGAAGGGCACAAUGACACCUCAGAUGGAAAGCAGGAUGACAGCAAAGAAGAUCUGCCAGUAACAAGAAAGAGAAAGCGACAUGCUAUUGAAGGAAGGAGCAAAGGAGUAUGCCAUGCUCCAUAACCCCCGCUCCAAGUGCUCUGGUCGUCGCCGGAGAAGGCACCACAUAGUCAGUGCUUCCUGCUCCAAUGCCUCAGCUUCUGCUGUGGCUGAGACUAAAGAAGGAGACAGUGACAGGGACACAGGCAAUGACUGGGCCUCCAGUUCUUCAGAGGCUAACUCUCGCUGUCAGACUCCCACAAAACAGAAGGCUAGUCCAGCCCCACCUCAACUGUGCGUAGUGGAAGCACCCUCGGAGCCUGUGGAAUGGACUGGGGCUGAAGAAUCUCUUUUUCGAGUCUUCCAUGGCACCUACUUCAACAACUUCUGUUCAAUAGCCAGGCUUCUGGGGACCAAGACGUGCAAGCAGGUCUUUCAGUUUGCAGUCAAAGAAUCACUUAUCCUGAAGCUGCCAACGGAUGAGCUCAUGAACCCCUCACAGAAGAAGAAAAGAAAGCACAGACUGUGGGCUGCACACUGCAGGAAGAUUCAGCUGAAGAAAGAUAACUCUUCCACACAAGUGUACAACUACCAACCCUGCGACCACCCAGACCGCCCCUGUGACAGCACCUGCCCCUGCAUCAUGACUCAGAAUUUCUGUGAGAAGUUCUGCCAGUGCAACCCAGACUGUCAGAAUCGUUUCCCUGGCUGUCGCUGUAAGACCCAGUGCAAUACCAAGCAAUGUCCUUGCUAUCUGGCAGUGCGAGAAUGUGACCCUGACCUGUGUCUCACCUGUGGGGCUUCAGAGCACUGGGACUGCAAGGUGGUUUCCUGUAAAAACUGCAGCAUCCAGCGUGGCCUUAAGAAGCACCUGCUGCUGGCCCCCUCAGAUGUGGCCGGAUGGGGCACCUUCAUAAAGGAGUCUGUGCAGAAGAACGAAUUCAUUUCUGAAUACUGUGGUGAGCUCAUCUCUCAGGAUGAGGCUGAUCGACGCGGAAAGGUCUAUGACAAAUACAUGUCCAGCUUCCUCUUCAACCUUAAUAAUGAUUUUGUAGUGGAUGCUACUCGGAAAGGAAACAAAAUUCGAUUUGCAAAUCAUUCAGUGAAUCCCAACUGUUAUGCCAAAGGUGAGUCCCAGUGACCUGGGAGGUGGGGUGGGGGAUGGAUGCCUCUUUACUGUGAUUUCCAUCCGUUGUUGAACCUUUUCCUUAGCUGAGCUAUUUUUUGUCCAAAGAUAAUCAUGAUUAAUAUCUGGUAUCAUUUUAGGCCCCUCUCAAUCUUAGUUUUGUAAUCUGCUUUUUUCAGUGAAUACAUUAUAAACACUUUCCCACAAAUGUGAUUUAACCAGCCUGAGCAACAUAGUGAGACCCAUCUCACAAAAUAAUAAUAGGCUGGGUGUGGUGGCUUACGCCUGUAAUCCCAGCACUUUGGGAGGCUGAG